rnacentral:piRNA from 1 species
UGCUCCAUGUUUCUCCUUGAAGGUUAA